GGGAGGAGUUCUAGGGCGGUGACCGGCACCUGCCUCCUCCCUCCAGCCAGCGUCGCCUCCUGGCCCCCCUCGACCCUCGGAGGCCCAGGUCGGGGACCCUGGGCGAACCGCGCCCAGGCUCUGCGCUCGCAGGUGUGGACAGUGCCCGGGGACGCAGCGCCAGGCCUCCACCCUCUCAGGCCUCCUGGGCACCCGCCACCUGAGCGCCGUGGGCCGGGCAAAACCAAGGGCAGGCGGCGGCUGCGGGGCGCUCACCUUCUGGAUGGAGGAUUUGCCGCUGCGCCGGAGCCCCAUAAGCAGGAUCCUCGGCUUGGAGCUGUCAGCGCCGCCCGGGCCGCAGCCGCCGCCGGCCCCCGCGCCUCCGCCGCCACCCGCCGCUGCCUCCUCUUCCUCCUCCUCCACGCCGUAGCCGAAGUCCUUGGGGAACGAGUCGGCUGCGCCGUAACUGCCGGCCAGGGGCGUCUCCUCCGCCCCGUACUGCAGGGACAUGGUGCUGGACCACCACCGCCCGCGCCCUGA
rnacentral:lncRNA from 1 species